CAGCGACAGGGAAAGUGAAAUGCAGGUAAACAAGAUUAAACCAAGGUAGAUUGUGAGGUGAAGAGCCUGUCGGGUGGACUAAGGAAACUUUCAAUAGCCUUAUCACAGUAGGACAUCAUGAGGGGUUUGAAGAUGGCAGCAGAUGACCCGUUUUUAUUGGGACCCGAAGAGACAUCACCCUGUGAGAUAUUGCUGUGCUUAAAUUGGCUGCAACAGCUUCCUGAGCUGAAGCCUCUCUGGGGGACAGCGGCUGUGAAUGGUGCUAUCGAAAUGCAGUUCUUUCUUUUUAUCUGCUGGAAAGAUUUUUAAACCGUUCUGGCUGUUACCCUCUGGAAGGUGGCACUGUUGAGGGCAGGAGCAUUUGGGUCACCCCAUACAAGCUCUCCAACAGCAGAGACAAAGACAAGAACUCCAACCCAAUGAGGUCACUGCCAACAGCUGCACAGUGAUGUCAUCGCUUAGCACUCUGCAUGUGGAAAGCCAUUGGCUCGUUGCGUGUCAUCUGAGACAAUGUCACCCAACACAGUCACAAUGGAAGCAGUUAUUAAGUUGUACCAAAGUUCUUCUGUAUCCAACAGCAUUGUAGUUGUCAACAGUACAGGAAUGAUCAUCAAAGGGUUGAAAUUUUACUCCUGCAUUGAAGAGGAGGAGGCAUAUGUGUCUGGAAUUAAUCAGCGUUAGAAUUUGUGUGUCAGAACAGAAUGUUUCUGCUUCAACAUGCAUGUGUAAUGUCCUGGGAAAGGUUUCACUUCUAAUGUAAUGGUUUCUCUGUGACAGCCAUGUUUGGGUUAUAACUAGAGAUAACGGGGCUUUGGAAUGUGCACCGUCCAACGAAGGGAGUGUUUUUUUUCCUUGUUGUGUGCCUGAGAGCAAAUUGUUCGAGGUCUUUUGUUCGGCGGAAGAUGGAGCGAGGAGAUGUCGGAGUGGAGAGGUUGUAGACUGCAGGACUGUGUGGACUUGGAAUGGGGUCAGGAGUCAAUGAUGCCCGGGGGAAAUCGAUGGAGGACUAAUGGAUGGGAAACCAUGAACUCCAACGUGCAUAUUAGACUGUUUCAUUACAAUUGGCCCUUUUCUUUUUGUUUUUCUUUACUAACCCUCUGGUCAAAUUAAGAAUUAUAAAGCUAAAUCAUAUAAUUGCA